AGGACGAACGCUGGCGGCGUGCUUAACACAUGCAAGUCGAGCGGAAAGGCCCUUCGGGGUACUCGAGCGGCGAACGGGUGAGUAACACGUGAGUAAUCUGCCCCUAGCUCUGGGAUAGCUCCGGGAAAACCGGGAUUAAUACCAGAUACGACCACUUUAGACAUCUGUUGUGGUGGAAGAAUUUUGGCUAGGGAUGAGCUCGCGGCCUAUCAGCUUGUUGGUGAGGUAACGGCUCACCAAGGCGACGACGGGUA
rnacentral:rRNA from 1 species